rnacentral:misc_RNA from 1 species
UAAAUAACAAUCGGUAUGUUGCUUUCUUGUGACAUUUCCGGAGUUGGGUCAUCUUAAUCUUUAAGGGACCUAAAAUUGAUGUUUUUGAGCAUCUUGACGUGUAUAAUUUUUUUUAUCUCGUCGCCGGAUGCCAAAUAUUAUUAGGUGUGGCCAUGUUAAGUGGUUUCAUGCCUAUAUAGGAAUCUUGAUU